CGUGCUUAAUACAUGCAAGUCGAACGAGAAAGCCUUCGGGGUGAGUAGAGUGGCGCACGGGAGAGUAAUGCAUAGGAACGACCUUUUUGGUGGGGAAUAACCACGGGAAACUGUGGCUAAAACCGCAUAAUCAGGCAACUGUAAAGAUGGCCUCUACUUGUAAGCUAUCGCCAAAAGAGCGGCCUAUGUCCCAUUAGCUUGAUGGUGAGGUAAAGGCUCACCAUGGCGACGAUGGGUAGCUGGUCUGAGAGGAUGAUCAGCCUCACUGGGACUGAGACACGGCCCAGACUCCUACGGGAGGCAGCAGUAGGGAAUCUUGCACAAUGGGCGCAAGCCUGAUGCAGCAACGCCGCGUGAGUGAAGAAGGCUCUUGGGUUGUAAAGCUCUUUCGGCUGGAAAGAAGGGUCUUUGUUCAAAUAGGGCAGAGAUUUGACGGUACCAGAAGAAGAAGCACCGGCUAACUCCGUG
rnacentral:rRNA from 1 species